UUCUCACUCUUCUGUUUAAGUGUAUUGAAAGCCUAAAAUUCUGUAUAAUUAAUGAGCAUCCGACACACGUGACCGCCGCCUCAGACCCACGUGACCACAGAGCUAGCUCCGUGGAAAGGCCUCAGUACAGCCUCGGUCUGGCUUGGAAACUGCUCCGGCAUUUUGAGUCUCUGUGUUUGUGUAUUCUUCUUUGGAUAUUAUUGGUGCAAUUGUUGGACAAAAUGACUUGCAGUGGUAUUAAUUGCACUAAUAGAGCGUCCAAGGAGUCUCCACUUCAUUUUUUUCGGUAAGUUAAAAUCUAUAUUCGUAUUUUAUGUCACUGCUACCUUUAAACUAGCUGAGUUUACCGAAGUAGCUAGCUAACUAUCAGUUUAACAUGUAGCAUGUACUGUUUAACCAUGAAAUUUAAAUGUAAAAUACGGUAAAAUAAUUAAUAGGGCAUAUUUAGAUGGGUAAUAGGGUAAAACCCAGUGCAUUUAAGAUAAAAAUGGGUUGAAAUAUGACGGAGCGCUAAGAGGGAGACUUCUGUGUCCAUUCUUCCAUCCGGUAAUCCCCAGCGUUCAGGCCGGGCAGCCUGACCGAUCCGGCGCCUACUUGCUGCGCCUAGCUGCUGCGCGGUCUGACCGCUCGUGGAGUUUUUCAUGUCUGACUUUAACCGCAUCUAAUACUGUAUUACGGCGUGAGCGCAACAGCGACAACUUAAUAUCGAUGUGUAAGCAGCCUGAGUGGUAGGGUGUUUUCAUCUGAACCCUCCAGCAGGCUAUGCUGCACUAUUGACGUGUUAGCGCGCGGCGCUAACAACUUAGCAACGUGACAUGUCUCUGAGAAAGCGUAAAACACGGACGCUUCUUCUGAAGCGGAAAAUAACACCUCUUCUUAAGCAGAGCAGGAUGUCGCCUCGGCUCGUUCACGGCCGAGCCGGACUGAGCUCGAUAACAUUGACCAAGCACAGCCACUGGGCCGUUGUAGCUGCCACCAGGCCUGCUGAAGGAACUCCAGCGGGUUUCAUCAGACUCGUAAAGUUUCUUGUUUUUGCUGGGGAUUUCUGUAUUUUACCGCUCCCUCCUGCAGUCUUCCCCUAUUAAAAUUUAAAAUGUGUAACUUUAUGUAUUGUGAUGAAUGACUAAUAUUCAUGUUAAACUGAAACGUUAGGCAUUUAGGGGGAAAAAACAAAAUAAUAAACAUUAUACAGAUGUCAAAUAAAUCAAACUGUAAUUAAACUAUAUAUUUUCAAAGUCAUAUAGACAGCAUGAUGGUUUGUGUGAUCCGCGCGGUUUCACUUACACCCCUUUAAUGAUCAGGCUGUUUUUUAUUAUUUUUAUCAGCUGAUAGCAGUUAAAAUUAUGGUAAAAAAUACUUUUAUCUGUUUUUGAUAACUUAAUGCCCAGGAAGAGCAUCUUCCUGGGCAUUAAAUAUAACCCAAAUGUUUUAUUAUGAGCAGAUCUGAUGAAGGUUUAGACAAGCAGUCUGCAAAGUAAAACUUGUUUAGAGUCCAAACUCUUACUAAAGCUUUUGAAAAGAAAAAAUGGUUGAAUUUUGAGAAAUAUCCACAACAGGGGAGCGAGACCUCUGAAAAAUGUAUAUUUUCUCUGAAUUCAUAGAAUAAUGUGAAGAUUCUGGGAAAAGUUGGGAUUCUGAGAUUAAAACGUAAAUCUUUCUAAUCAUAAUUCUGGCAGUUUUUGUGUCCUUCUGCUGUGGAAAGUCGUGCAACAUGAAGAUACUGAGAAGAUGCUUACAACCUGUAUUUUUAUUCCAUCCAUAAAUAAAAUCAUGAGCUAUUUUUUAAAUCCAAAUUUGAUCCAAAGGGCCAUCGUUGGUUCCAGACCCGUUCUAGAACAUUCCUCUAAUCUUAAAGUCAUCAUCAGUUUCUUCCUUUUAACAAAUAUUUAUUUGUUCAAAUAUUUAAUAUUUAUAACUGGAAUAUUUGUUCCUCCCUCUCCCACUGCAGUUAGUCCUGUCCUGCAACCCUGUUUUUGCAGCUUAGUGAAGCCAACCAUCACUAACCGGGGGGUGGUUUUGGACCCAGAGAUGCGGAUGGACUCCCACAUUAGCCAGGGAAGGACCUGAUUGGUGUCCAGAACCUGAUGAAGAAGCACCAGGCUCUGCAGGCUGAGAUCACAGGUCAUGAACCUCGCAUCAAGGCUGUCACCCAGAAAGGAGAGACCAUGGUGGAAGAAGGUCACUUCGCUGGUGAGGAAGUGAAGACUAAACUGUGGGAGCUUCAUGGACGUUGGGACACGCUGAAGGCCAAGGCGUCCCAGAGGAGGCAGGACCUGGAGGACUCUCUGCAGGCCCAGCAGUACUUUGCGGAUGCUAAUGAGGCCGAGUCCUGGAUGAGGGAGAAGGAGCCCAUCGUUGGAAGUCCAGACUAAGGGAAAGACGAGGACUUGGCCGAGGCUCUCCUGAAGAAGCACGAGGCCCUGAUGUCGGACCUGUCGGCUUACGGCAGCAGCAUCCAGGCCCUGAAGGAGCAGGCCCAGUCCUGCAGGCAACAAGGUGAUCAGCAGGUGCUUUUGUCCUGCAGGACCUGAAGGCCAACGAGUCCCGCCUGAGGGACAUCAACAAGGUGGCAUCUGAACUGGAGUCAGAAGGUCUGAUGGCUGAGGAGGCUCCUAUGGUUCAGGCUCAGCAACAAGAACAUCUGGGUUCUGCUCCUGGAAAGCUGCGUGUUGUCCUCCGCCUCCACCAGAACCAGACGUGGUGUUUAUGUUACCACUCAUUUGUUUGUUUACAGGAUGAAGCCGACUCUAACACGGCGUCACCCUGGAAGGUGAGUUCAUUCAGCUGAUCAGAGGUCACCUCUGAUGGCAGCAGUCACGGCCGACCGUGCUGACAUCACACAGGAAUUCAGGUGACCCGGCAGGCACCAGGUUUUGGUGAAAGUGGGGACAUGUCAGCUGGUUGCCAUGGCUAGUUAUCUUUAUGCAUCUGUAUGACUGCUGACUGUUGUGUGUUUCCUGUGACCUUUGA